AUGAACGCUGGCGGCGUGCCUAAUACCUGCAAGUCGAGCGAACAGACGAGGAGCUUGCUCCUCUGACGUUAGCGGCGGACGGGUGAGUAACACGUGGAUAACCUACCUAUAAGACUGGGAUAACUUCGGGAAACCGGAGCUAAUACCGGAUAAUAUAUUGAACCGCAUGGUUCAAUAGUGAAAGACGGUUUUGCUGUCACUUAUAGAUGGAUCCGCGCCGCAUUAGCUAGUUGGUAAGGUAACGGCUUACCAAGGCAACGAUGCGUAGCCGACCUGAGAGGGUGGUCGGCCACACUGGAACUGAGACACGGUCCAGACUCCUACGGGAGGCAGCAGUAGGGAAUCUUCCGCAAUGGGCGAAAGCCUGACGGAGCAACGCCGCGUGAGUGAUGAAGGUCUUCGGAUCGUAAAACUCUGUUAUUAGGGAAGAACAAAUGUGUAAGUAACUAUGCACGUCUUGACGGUACCUAAUCAGAAAGCCACGGCUAACUACGUG
rnacentral:rRNA from 1 species